AUUGAACGCUGGCGGAAUGCUUUACACAUGCAAGUCGAACGGCAGCACGGACUUCGGUCUGGUGGCGAGUGGCGAACGGGUGAGUAAUGUAUCGGAACGUGCCAGUCGUGGGGGAUAACGUAGUGAAAAUUACGCUAAUACCGCAUACGAUCUAUGGAUGAAAGCGGGGGAUCGCAAGACCUCGCGCGAUUGGAGCGGCCGAUAUCAGAUUAGGUAGUUGGUGGGGUAAAGGCCCACCAAGCCAACGAUCUGUAGCUGGUCUGAGAGGACGACCAGCCACACUGGAACUGGGACACGGUCCAGACUCCUACGGGAGGCAGCAGUGGGGAAUUUUGGACAAUGGGCGAAAUCCUGAUCCAGCCAUUCCGCGUGCAGGAUGAAGGCCCUCGGGUUGUAAACUGCUUUUGUACAGAACGAAAAGGUUUCUACUAAUACUAGGAGCUCAUGACGGUACUGUAAGAAUAAGCACCGGCUAACUACGUGCCAGCCGCCGCUGUAA
rnacentral:rRNA from 1 species